CCUGGGCCGUCGCCCCCCAGCAAAAAUGAAUUUUUUUUACUACCCCUAUGUAUACAUACAGCCCACAGGCCCACUUAUCAACUAGGACUAGUCUACGAUGCCUGGAGCCUGGAUGCAGCGACCAACUCCAUACUCCAGAAUCCUUUUCCCCUUUGACUUGCGACCACGGACGGCUGAGCGUGGGCGUGGGGCACCGGCGACUGGGAACUGGCCGCUGUGGCCUGCCGGCGUGGGGCGACCGCUGGCCGGCUGGCAGGUGGCCGGCUAGGGGUUGGUCGACUCCUUCCUCCUCCGCUCAGGUUCAUCCACUUCUGCCUCGGUUGUGGCUGUCCUCCCGCGCAGCAGUGCCUCGAUUAAGAGGGAACAAGAGAGGCCGUGAUGCUUAAGGGGAAAACAAUUGAUGCGUUUUUCAAAAGAAAGAGAGGUGAUUCAACUGAAUGUGAAGUUGAUGAACCAAUAGCAACAGAAGCAAUUCCUGUUCCGCCUCCUCUGUUGUUGCUCGAAUUUGAGCAACAUGGACCACAUCCUUCGAUGCCUCAACAACAAGGCCAUCAAACUCAAACAAAUGAAGUACAAUUUUGAGGGAUUGAAUUCUUGCAGCGGGAUCCAGCACUACGUCCACAGAUUUGGCAAUAUCCACCUAAUCAAAGAGAUGAUGUGGGGCGAGCAUAUUUGAAGCUUGGUAUUAUGCAGCCCCGCUUGAAGAAUUACAAAGCUUACGGUUCAGAAGGUCGCAAACGACGCUUUAAAUAUGACUGGUUCAAGGAUUUCCCAUCAUGGUUGGAGUACUCGGAGGACAGUCAUCGUGCAUAUUGCUUCUAUUGUUUCUUGUUCAGCAACAAUAAAAACAAGCGAGGUGGUUCAGAUGUCUUUACUAUGCGAGGAUUUGUAAAUUGGAAGAAGGUCCAUGAUGGAAAGAAAUGUGCAUUCUCUACUUUGAAGUGGAAGAUGAUUAUCUAGCCAAUAGCUUGCUAGUAAACAUAGAGAGUGAAAUUGUGGAGAAGUACAACUAUGAAGAUGUUCUUGUGCACUUUAAGGGUGUAAAGAAACGAAGGGCUGAUCUGUAGUGAACUGGAUGCUCCAUAGUUAAAUAGUAUUUUGGGUAUAGUUUCUUUUGUUCUGGAGCUGGUCAGUAGUGAACUGAAUGUUCCACGGUUAAAUAGCACUUUGUAGUGAACCGAAUUCUCUACUGAUUAGAAAUGUAUUUUGUAAGCUAAUCUGGAGAAGAUCAAUAUAAUUAUCUAAGUUACUUGAUAUUUGCAACA